rnacentral:tRNA from 1 species
GGGAAUAUAGCUUUGUGGUAGAGUGCUUGCCUGGCAUGCAUGAAGCCCUGGGUUUGAUUCCUCAGUAUCA